AUUGAACGCUGGCGGCAUGCCUUACACAUGCAAGUCGAACGGCAGCACGGACUUCGGUCUGGUGGCGAGUGGCGAACGGGUGAGUAAUAUAUCGGAACAUACCUUGUAGUGGGGGAUAACUAUCCGAAAGGAUAGCUAAUACCGCAUACGCUCUAAGGAGGAAAGUGGGGGAUCGCAAGACCUCAUGCUAUAAGAGUGGCCGAUAUCUGAUUAGCUAGUUGGUGAGGUAAAGGCUCACCAAGGCGACGAUCAGUAGCUGGUCUGAGAGGACGACCGGCCACACGGCAACUGAGACACGGGCCAGAGGCGUACGGUAGGCAGCAGUGGGGAAUUUUGGACAAUGGGGGCAACCCUGAUCCAGCAAUGCCGCGUGAGUGAAGAAGGCCUUCGGGUUGUAAAGCUCUUUUGUCAGGGAAGAAACGGUGGUGGCUAAUAUCCAUGGCUAAUGACGGUACCUGAAGAAUAAGCACCGGCUAACUACGUGCCAGCCGCCGCCGUAAAAC
rnacentral:rRNA from 1 species